GCUUCCAUGGUCUAGCGGUUAUGACAUGAGUCUCAUAUCAAGCAUAUGACGUCGAAGGUUAACUUCGAUGAGCAAUCUCAGGGUCGUGGGUUCGAUCCCCACUGGAGGCA